rnacentral:rRNA from 1 species
CCUACGGGUGGCAGCAGUAGGGAAUCUUCCACAAUGGACGAAAGUCUGAUGGAGCAACGCCGCGUGAGUGAAGAAGGGUUUCUGCUCGUAAAGCUCUGUUGGUAGUGAAGAAAGAUAGAGGAAGUAACUGGCCUUUAUUUGACGGUAAUUACAUAGAAAGUCCCGGCUAACUACGUGCCAGCAGCCGCGGUCAUACGUAGGUGGCAAGCGUUUUCCGGAUUUAUUGGGCGUAAAGCGUGUGCAGGCGGUCCAAUAAGUCUGAUGUGAAAGGCUUCGGCCCAACCGGAGAAUUGCAUCAGAAACUGUUGAACUUGAGUGCAGAAGAGGAGAGUGGAACUCCAUGUGUAGCGGUGGAAUGCGUAGAUAUAUGGAAGAACACCAGUGGCGAAGGCGGCUCUCUGGGCUGCAACUGACGCUGAAGCUCGAAAGCAUGGGUAGCGAACAGGAUUAGAUACCCGUGUAGUC